rnacentral:rRNA from 1 species
UACAGAGGUCCCAAGCGUUGUUCGGAUUUACUGGGCGUAAAGGGUGCGUAGGCGGCAGUGUAAGUCGAAUGUGAAAUUUUAGGGCUCAACCUUGAAACUGCAUUCGAUACUGCACCGCUAGAGGAUUGUAGGGGAGUGUGGAAUUCACGGUGUAGCAGUGAAAUGCGUAGAUAUCGUGAGGAAGACCAGUGGCGAAGGCG